rnacentral:rRNA from 1 species
GAUGAACGCUGGCGGCGUGCUUAACACGUGCAAGUCGAACGAAGCACCUCUCCCGAAGAUUGACACAGCUUGCUGUAGAUUGAUUCAUUUGAGGUGACUGAGUGGCGGACGGGUGAGUAACGCGUGGGUAACCUGCCUCAUAUAGGGGGACAACAGUUGUAAACGACUGCUAAUACCGCAUAGUAAGAAGAAUUCGCAUGUUUUCUUCUUGAAAGAUUUAUCGCUAUGAGGUGGACCCUCGUCUGAUUAGCUAGGUGGUAAGGUAACGCCUUACCAAGGCGACGAUCAGUAGCUGGGUUGAGAGAGUGCACCACCAGAUUGGGACUGCGACACGGCCCCCACUCCUACGGGAGGCAGCAGUAGGGAACAUUACACGCUGAAGCAAACCCUGAUGAAGCGACGCCGCGUAAGUGAAGCAGUAUUUCGGUAUGUAAAGCUCUCUCAGCAGGGAAGAUAGUGACGGUAACUGACUAAGAAGCCCCGGCUAACUACGUG